GCUGGCAUUUGUUUGAAUUACAAACAAAAAAAAAUAAAAAAAAAAUAUAAAAAUAUACAAGAAAUAUAAAAUUAAACAAAAAUAAAAUUAAAUGUGUAAAAGAAAAAUAAAAUGAUUGAAGUAGAGGAAGGGCUUAAGAAUACAAAGCAAAUGCAGCCAGAACGAAGAUUUGGAGACAGACUCAAAUAUUGACAGAUGAAGUGUAUGCUUUGUGUUUGCGCUGCUUCGCCGACGGACUUAAAUACAUACACAUGUAAACAUUACAUAACUUUAAUCAUGAUUCCAAGUUUUAGAUGAAAUUGCUACUCUCAACUGUGAUAUGCGUCUUAAUAUGCUACGACAAGCUAAACAUCUUGUAUGUUAUUGAACACUUUCUCUACUGAACAAUUUCGGAAAUUCUAGGAGCUGUGGGAGUUUGGGAAACGUAAUUUGCGAUUGGAAAAAUGCUUCUUCGAACCUUUUUUUCGACCCUGGCUGUGGUGAGCGCUCCAUCAUAAGACCAAGUGGAUGUAAUGAAAUCUAUACUUCCUCUUCAUUAAAAAAAAUUAAACUUUUAAAUGAUCAAAAAACAAAAACAAUCAAUGAACUUCGAAAUUGUUGCAUCUAAAUCGAUAAGUUUCCUUUCACUCCAUUAUUAUUCAUUACUUUUUCCAAACUGUGACAGACUUCACCUGAGCAAACAGCAGCACGCACACAUGUAAGUUCGUUCCUAUAUAACAAUUUAUGAUUGUAUGUGUGCAUAUAUAUACCAAUAAGUAUGCGUAUACAUGUGUUUGAACGGAAGUACGCUUUCGAAAGUUUUGCGUGUGCGUGUAUGUGUGAGCGCAUUCCGUUUUUACUUCUAAUAUUGCGUAUUUUUACUCAUCGCAUACACACAUACAUGUACACCAUUACUUAUUAUAAUACACUUGUAUGCUAAUGCAUAACAUAUUAGUGCGCUGUCAUUGUAAGCCUUUGCCUGUAAGUGUGUGUGCGCGCUUGUGCUGGUGCCACACAUGCAUAAUGCGAAAAAGUACCGGAAAACGCGCGAUUACGCCAUAGACGCAGAUACACACACACACACACAGAGCAAGAAGUCAAUACGCAUACACGCUCACUUUGAUUUCACGUUUUUUGUUUUGUUCCAUUUCUUUUCGACAAACAAACGCCGGCACACAGUCAAUGCGUUCAAUUUUUAUUAUUGUUGUAUUGUCACUAAUACACAACAAAUAGUAUUUGUGUUACUUUUUCGUAUUUUUCGUAGCGCGCGCGUUAUAAAAUUUGUUACUCGCGUGUGGCGCUCAACUCAACUGCACGUCAACGCAACGCAACGUAAACACAACACAGCACAGCGCGGCACAGCGCCACUCAACUCAACUCAGUUCGUUGGCAAUGCGAAACUCGACGCGACGCGACUCACUGCGAUUGUGCCUUUGGCCGGCAUCGCUAGCUGGUUAGCUUGCUGGCUGACUUACUGGCUGGCUGCUUGGCUUCUUGACUAGUUCGCUGACAGGCCGGCUGGUGGGCGCGUGGCGGCGCAGACACUGACAGCCAGCGUGGCGAGCAGUGCCAGCGGCAAAGUCGGCAAAUGGGUGCAAAACAAAAUUUCUCGACAGAUAUAUACAGAUUGUGGAUCUGUUCACCUAACGGCUUUUUGUAACAAGCCAACUAUUUAUUUGGCUACAGUAAAUCUACAAGUAUAUCGAAAUGAUCUGGCGGGGAAUACGACGUGUUGCCUGCCUGCCAGUUUUCUCGUGCGAAAAUGACAUAUUUCGAUGACGUUGGUCCUCUACUUGGUACCCUGGUUGAUAUUGGACAUGGACGGGUCAUCAACUGAGAGUACUGUAAUUAGUUGCCCGACACAUUGACCCGGUGUGAAUCUGGUUAAAAAAUUAGACAAUAAGCAGGAAAUCGUCAAAUAUAAUAUAUGCUAAAAAUUUUUGUGAACUAGUU